GGGUCUCGCAGGCGAUUCGGGCCGGGACAAACGGGGGCCGCGAGAGGUGGCGUCGGUUGGGCCGCGUCAGCUUGCAUGGUCGAGUGCAACGUGCGUGAUCGGAGUUUCAGGGUGCCGGCGAUACAAUAGUGGUGAACCAAGCGGUCAUUUACCAUGAAACAGGUCCUAGCGAUAGUUCUUUUUACGUGUGGUAUUUCAUUGGUCCAUCCAUCAUGCCCAGACAAUGAAGUCUCAGUGUUCUGCAGUGGAGCUUCCCUGAUCCCGCAAGUAUACUGUGGAGGCGUAGGUUUUGACAACACGUAUAAGUGCACAAAGAAAGAAAAUGUAAGGUGUGGCUGUGCGGAGGGUUACGCACGCGAAAACAACGGUAAAUGCGUGCGUGUAGAG